ensembl:processed_transcript
GGGGACACUGGAGAAGGCAUCAGCUGAGGACACAGCUGUGGAGAAAGAACAGAGUUUGCAGACAGAGAGAUAGAGAGGAGCGUUCGGUAGCCAUCUGCAGGGGGAGACUGCAUUUAUUAAUGGUUACUUUGUAUACUUUUUGUCUCAGUCGCUGUUUCAUUGUUGGGAAGAGACACCAUGGCCAGGGUGAGGCAAACAGACCUGAAGUGACCCACCCGGGGUCACAUAUUUAGAAAGGGGUGAAGACUGGUUCACACACAACCUCUGAGACACAAGAUCUUGCUCACUUCUACUCCCUGGCUGGGAAGGUAACCUGGGAAGCCCGAUUAGCAACUCUAACUAAGACUUCAAAGUGUGAACUAUAGAAAGAAAGCUGACUAAGCCAGACUGCAGUGAGAGGCUGUCUAGAGAAUAGAAAGAUGGAAGACUGCCUGGAGGAAUGGCCUGCUAGGUGGACUCUCAGAGAGGGAGAUGGGGAGGACAGCUAGGGAGACUUACAAUCAAUCCCCGUGCCUUGAGGGGUAUUCAUAGCAGCUUGAGUGGAUGAAAAAAAAAUUAAAGAACACAUGAUUGAACUAAAA